UUAAAAUUAAAAAACGAAUUUAGAAAUUCAGAGAUAAAAAAAAGCGCCACCCAUUUCCCUCACAACCCUAAUUCUGUUGGACAUCUUCUGUUCAUUUCACUCUUGAACCUGUUUCAUCCCAUCGACGAAUUCACGAUGUAGAAUCUGUUUCAUCUUCCCCAGUCUGCAGAUUUCUUAUCGCGUGUUCUCCUCCUCUCUUAGUUAUCUUUGAAAAUUAGGGUUUUGUUAAGGAAAAUUAGGGUCAAUCAACAACAACAAUGGCAAAUUCUCCCAGGUCUUCCUCUGUUCUGAGGAAUAUGAAGUUGCAUGUGGUAUCAGUUUUCCAUUCUAAUCUGAUUGAUGCUUUUUGCUAUGGCUGGUUGCUCACUCGCACGUCAUUCCAUUACUUCCAGGUUCUUUAUUAUUUCUUUUUUUUCUUUCUCAUUUUUUCUUUUCUUUUCUUUUCAUGUUCUUCAACCCUAAUCUGAUUUUGAUUUCGUUUUCUUUUCAUGUUAUUCAUUUCAUUUUCUUUAUUCAUGUUCUUUGAUUUUCUUUUGUUCGAAUUCUUAAUUUCCAGUCAGCCUUUGUUUUUGUACGAAUGCUUUCUACUAUUUUGUUUUGUUCGAAUUUCCAGUUAGACUUACUGUCAGAUAGUAUACGUUAGUGAUUUUUUGAAUUGCUACCUUAUUAAAUAUAGAUACUAAGUAGUAGACUAUGAUUUUGUGAAAGGAUUAAUUUGAUUCUUUCUUAGAAAUGAGUAUUGUAAGAUAUCUGAUCUUGGCUCGUUCCAACACUUUCAGAUAUUUUCUAGUGAAUAGGUUUUAAAAUCCUUUUUAGGAGGCAUAGAUUCUGAUCAAUUAGGAAGUGUGUAAGUGUUUUAAGUGCUCUUUUAUAUGGAAAAUGAUAAAAAAAUAAACAUAGUCAUUAUAAAACUUGCUAUUUCUUCAAAAUAUGUAGAAUUGUCCGAUCCUAUGAUUCGAUCCUACGAUCUGAUCCCACCAGUUGAUUUCGAUCCUACGUAAAAUUGUUUUUUAAACUUUACUGGACUAAUAGUAAUUUAAUCAAUGGUUAAGUCUGUUCUGAUUUUUGCUGCUUAUUUUGUUGUAUGUGUCAGAAAGAAUAUAUUAUUGUUGUUGCUAUUACUUAUCUUCUUGAUGUGCUACUGCUGUUGUGAGGAGUUGUUGCGGGCUAUCGAUGUGUAAUAGCUUUUGCGAGGAGCUGCUACGGGCUGUCGUUGUGUAGUUGUUGGGAGGAGCUGUUAUUGCAAGGAGCUGCUGUGCAGCUGCUGUUGCGAGGAGCUGCUGCCUCUGUCUUUUCUUUAAUAGGUCUUUGGCUACUGAUUCAAAGUCACUUGAAAUAGAUACCAAAAACAGUAAGCUUUGGAGCAGAUAAUCUAUUUCAUUCACUUCUUUUUCUAUUUUCUUAUGCUUGUAUGUAUUUUUCACUAUGUUUUUAAUAUUGAUAAUAAAAGACACUUAAACUAUCCGUCUACCGUACCCAAUUCAACAAAAUGGAUGAAUCGGGUCAUUACACAAAAGGCCAUAAUGAAAUUUAUAUUCUUAAACAAGCUUUGCAUAAUAUAUAACUGAAAACACAUAAAUAAUGUAGUUUUGAAAGUUCUCUUAGAGGACUUAGUCAAUUAUAAUUUGGCUUUUGUUAGGAUCUCUGGAAUAAAAUUGUCAGGAUCCUAAACAUCUCAUAAUGUUUUUAAAUGUGUUUUUUAAUCUUUAAACUAUAAGUGCAAAAAAUAAAGAAGACAAAACACAAUGAUUUAGGAUGUUCAACUUAAGCCUACGGCUGUCUCCUUAUAUUGUUCAUUGCUAUUGGUUUUUUUUACGGUCUUUCUUCGCAACCUUCUUUGAAAGGGUAUGGUAUACCGUCUUUCCUUUCUUACUUAAUAUGUUAUCCAAAAAUAUUAAGUAUUACAGUUAGAUUUUCUUCCUGAUUGCAAAGUUACUAUGAAUGUGAUUUAGAUGUCAAUGAUACAAUUAAUAUUUUAGCAUUUCUCAUAAUAAAAUCCACGUCCCCAAGUCUCUCUUUGACCUGGUUAAAUGUUUUUGUCUUUCUGGUGAAAGAGUUAUUUAUUUUUAUUGUCUGUUGAGAUUUUAAGUUUUUACUCAGAUCUUUCAUAUCUGUGACUGUGGUUCAAAACCCUUAAGUAGAUUAGUAGUUUAUGCAAGAAUGACUCAACUCUUGUCACAGACUAACAGACUUUAUUCGUUUCAUUAUAUCUGCAACUAAUAGUCACAUCUUCUCACACAUGUCUGUAUUACUCUAUCACUUGCAAUUAUUUUAAAGAGAAAAUUCUAACAAACUACCUAUUCUAUACAUGAAUUUGCAAAAAACUACCUUAUGUAAUGCUUUUGUUUGCAAAAGACUACCUCUUAACGGAUAUGAGAGUUUGACCGUUCAAAUUAACGUUUGACUCUCACGUGUGACGCACGUGACCCAUUAAUAUUUGAACCUUCUUCAUUGCUGCUUUUCAAUUCAGUACUGUUCUUCUUCCCAUUUCAUUCCUCUUCUUCGAAAAAACCCUAAUUUUCUCUCCUUCCUCUUCGAAAAACCCUAAAUUAAUCAGUAAUGUCUUCUUCUUCUUCAACGCAAAACUCGAUACCUGAAAGAUGUGGGUGUGGAGUUCCCUUUGCAAGGAGGGUUUCAUGGACCAAGGAAAAUCCAGGAAGAAGGUUUAAGACUUGCGUUUUUUAUGAUCCUGAUACAAAUUGGAGGGAAUGCAAAAAGUUUAAAUGGGUUGAUCAUCCUGAAAUGGCUGUUUGGCAAAGAGAAGUGACGAACAAGCUUGUGGAGGAGAAGCGACAAUUGGCAACCGAAAUCAAGAUUUUGACAUCAAAGGUUUGUUGCUUGGAACAUGAAAAGGAACAAGCAAUUUCAGAAAUUAAAAGGAUUAAGAAGAAAUGGAUGAAUGAGAGGAAGCAUGGAAAUCAGUUUACAAGCUUUGUAUUAGGGUUUUUCGUUUGUUUUUUGUUACUGUUUCUUGUAUUAAUCAACGCUAGUAUUUGAAGUUUAGGACCUAUUUAAGAUUAAUUGUAACAGUGAUUUGGGUAUUGUAAAUUGAUCAUGAUGAUUCAAUGAAUUAAGCUUUUAUUUUUUCAAUUUAAUUUCUUUUGCAGGAACUGUAAAUACACUUGUGUUUAUGUAAUGUGUAUUGUGUUUGCUGUUUGCUAUUUGUUGUUUUUGGCUAUUUGGUGUGUUUGCUCUUUGCUGUGUCUUUGCUGUGUUUGACUAGUAGCUGUAUGUUUGGUGUUUGCUGGGUUGUUUUUCUGUUUGCUGUGGUUGCUGUUUGUUUUGGUUUUGGAAUGUUGUUUGUUUUGGAAUGUUUGAUAAGCUAAUGAAUGUUUGAUAAGGCUAGUAGCUGUAUCCAAGCAUUCAGCAAGUUGCUGUCAUACUCAAUACUUUGCACUUUGCACUUUGCUGUUUGUUCAUGCUGAAUGUUUUCAUUCAACACUUUGCUUACAUUGAUACAUGCUGGUUUUCAAUACAUGCUUACAUUGAUACAUGCUGGUUUUCAUUACAUGCUUACAUUGAUACAGCUGGUUUUCAUUACAUGCUUAACACAACCAGACUUCUUUAAACAAAAUGAUCUUAAACAUACAGCAGCAACAUUGAUACAGUUAUUAUACUUGAUCAGACAUAAAGACAUUCAUCAACAUACAGCAUCAACAUUGAGCAUGAACAAUGAUGUUAAACAAAAUGAUCUUAAUCAUUCAGCAACUUAACCUUUUGUUGCUUUGAUACAUACAUACAACACAGCACAACACA